rfam:Gossypium hirsutum cultivar TM-1 chromosome 9, whole genome shotgun sequence
CUUAAGCUUAUGUAGCUGCUGUAAAUAUGGACAAAUAUCAAUAUGCAGGCUUUAAAGUGGGCGAGCCAUUAGUACAUGGACUCCCAUAAAGAACCUACAUUACAUUA